rnacentral:rRNA from 1 species
AUUGAACGCUGGCGGCAGGCCUAACACAUGCAAGUCGAACGAGUGGCGGACGGGUGAGUAAUGUCUGGGAAACUGCCCGAUGGAGGGGGAUAACUACUGGAAACGGUAGCUAAUACCGCAUACCAUCGGAUGUGCCCAGAGGGGAUUAGCUAGUAGGUGGGGUAACGGACCACCUAGGCGACGAUCCCUAGCUGGUCUGAGAGGAUGAACGGCCACAUGGUGACUGAGACACGGUCCAGACUCCUGCGGGAGGCAGCAGUGGGGAAUAUUGCACAAUGGGGGCAAGCCUGAUGCAGCCAUGCCGCGUGUAUGAAGAAGGCCUUCGGGUUGUAAAGUACUUUCAGCGAGGAGGCGUUACUCGCAGAAGAAGCACCGGCUAACUCCGUGCCAGCAGCCGCGGUAAUUC